rnacentral:rRNA from 1 species
UGCCUACGGGGGGCAGCAGUGGGGAAUAUUGGGCAAUGGGCGCAAGCCUGACCCAGCAACGCCGCGUGAAGGAAGAAGGCUUUGGGGUUGUAAACUUCUUUUCUCAGGGACGAAGCAAGUGACGGUACCUGAGGAAUAAGCCACGGCUAACUACGUGCCAGCAGCCGCGGUAAUACGUAUGGAGCAAGCGUUAUCCGGAUUUACUGGGUGUAAAGGGAGCGCAGACGGCAAGGCAAGUCUGAUGUGAAAGUCCGAGGCUCAACCUCGGGACUGCAUUGGAAACUGUCUGGCUAGAGUGCAGGAGG